rnacentral:rRNA from 1 species
AACGAACGCUGGCGGCAUGCCUAACACAUGCAAGUCGAACGAGAUCUUCGGGUCUAGUGGCGCACGGGUGCGUAACGCGUGGGAAUCUGCCCUUUGGCUCGGAAUAACAGUUGGAAACGACCGCUAAUACCGGAUGAUGACGAAAGUCCAAAGAUUUAUCGCCAGAGGAUGAGCCCGCGUAGGAUUAGCUAGUUGGUGUGGUAAAGGCGCACCAAGGCGACGAUCCUUAGCUGGUCUGAGAGGAUGAUCAGCCACACUGGGACUGAGACACGGCCCAGACUCCUACGGGAGGCAGCAGUGGGGAAUAUUGGACAAUGGGCGAAAGCCUGAUCCAGCAAUGCCGCGUGAGUGAUGAAGGCCUUAGGGUUGUAAAGCUCUUUUACCCGGGAUGAUAAUGACAGUACCGGGAGAAUAAGCUCCGGCUAACUCCGUGCCAGCCGCCGCAGUAA